CUGAGGCUGGGGAGGUGGCCAGGCAGUAAGCAGGGCUGAGCCUGCUCCCAGGGUACCCCCCGGGGGUCUCACUGGUCUCCCAGGUCAGCAGAGGAAGUUCAUCCUUAAGGUAUUGCUCAGGCUCCCUCCCCAGGUGCUGACUGGCAAGCUCCUGUCACCUGAGAAGAUGGCCAUGCAUGGGACCCUUACCUCCAGGACCCGCCUUCCUCCUGGCCAGCCCCAGCUGUCCCCUCCUCCUCGGGACCUGUGAUCCCAGCUGUGUCUCCACCCCAGCCCCAGAGACAGUUUUUAAGGAGCUUCAACAUUCUUCUGUCCAGGGGAAGGGACGGCUGGCUCCAAGAUGGAGGACGGAGGCUCGGGAGACUCCCCAGAGGACACACAACAAGGAUGCGGCCAAGCUGGGGUAUAGACAUGCAGUUUCUGACUCCAAGGCCAGUGCUCUUUCUAGAAUUGCUAUUUAUAGUAAGCAUAUGUAGUUAGAACCAGAUGUGGUCAUCACAACCUCCUGAGGUGGGUGGGUAAAUGCCACUGUCUCACCGAGGAGGUGUCUGCCCCCCGGAGAGGCUGGGUGGUCGGCCCCUAAUCCCCCAAAUGCUGAGUAUGUACGUGGCCAGCUUAGAUCCACAGUCUGCCCCCACCAGGCUGCAUGCUGCCGAGGAUCCCAGUUCUGAGCAGGGCACGGUUUAACCCUAUUUGCAAAACUCACAAAAGGCGUGGCCCAGGUCGCACAGCUGGGGGGUAGCGGAGGCCCACUGGCCCCUGCUCUUUGCUGGCGGGCUGACACCCAGCCUGUGUGGGGCUUGCUCAUCGGGGCCUUGCUCUGAGCUGGCAGCCCUCAGGGUCAGGACGCCUGCUGGGGGCACCUCCCUGCCCCUCCCUUGUUCCUGCAGAGCUGGACUCCCGGAGCCUGGCCUGAGAGCCGCCUGGGCAAGCUGCCAGUGCAGGGAAGUAGCAGGCAGGCGCGCUGUCAGCUCCAGGAAGUGUCUCUGUUCCUGGGCCGGUCUGCAGGACCAUAACAGCAGAGAUGGGAGCUGGGGGCUAAGCACGCCCCCCACAAGGCCCAGCAGCUCUGGGCCUGGCCCCCAGGCUUGCCCUGGUGGGCAGGACCUGGGCCUGGGCCACGCCUUCCCUUGCUGGGUCUGGGCUCUCUCCUCCGUCUGGCUCCAGCUCUGCUCCCCACCAACUCUGCUGCCAAGUACAUGCUCUUGGCGGCAACGACAUCCAUUUAACCUGCUUCCCAGAAGACAGCAUGGUUAUGCGGGCCGGCUCAGCCAGCAGCAUGGUGGGAGAAGGGGAAGGGGGGCCCUUCAGCUUGGUCUUCUCUUGCCCAUAUCUCUUAGGGAUCUUGGGGCGGGGGGGUGGCCCUAAGCAACCUUGCUUACUUGGGUCAGAAGUAACCUCAGCUCAACUGGAAGCCUCAAGUAGCCAUGCUAAAGACAGAACUUGGAGCUCCUGGAGUUGGUGGGUGUUUGUAUUAGGGGCAAUCAUUUAGCCUGAGGCUUGGGUAAAGCUGGCUUCCCUAGUAGCUCAGUUGGUAAAGAAUCCGCCUGCAUUGCAGGAGACCCGGGUGCAAUCCCUGGGUUGGGAAGAUCCCCUGGAGAAGGGAACGGCUACCCAGUCCAGUAUUCUGGCCUGGAGGUAUCCGUGUGGACAGCAUGUUCAUUUCACGCCAGCUGUGCUGCUCAGAAAGCAAGUGUAGGUCUUCAGGCAUUGCAUGGUCUCUUCUGUUUGUGAUCUCUACAAAGAUGACCUUUCCUGCAGUCUCCUCUCUGGCCCUCCUGCCCUUGGCCAGACCCUGUUAGGAUGGUGGUUCUGGACCAAGUAGCUGCCCUCCUUGUCCCUUUGCUCCUCUCAUCUGGCCCUUGAGGCCCAGGGAGGCAUCCUCCCCCUCAUUGGGGUUCAUCCUACAGGUCCGGAUGCCUUCAGCCUCAUGGCCUCCCUCUGGGCCAGAGCUCCUCCCUCCCCACCAGCCUCCUUGGGGUGCAGAUGGACGGCCCAGCACAGUCAGGAACAGCCCUCUGUUUGCCUUGGCUGGUGGGGAAGAGAUUACUGCUCACUUUCUGUUUUGACUCUUAUAUUUAGCUAACACAUACAGCCUGUGAGAUGGCAGGAAAGCAGCCUUGGGUCUUGAAUGAGUCUGGGGCCCAUCCCUGAUGGCCUGGCCCCUGUGGAGUGGAGGUGUCUGGAAGUAGGAAUGGGUGAUAACACUGCCUUCUGGGUACAUGGAGAGAGGUGAGGACCAUCUGUUGGUUUCCUUGACCCAAGGUCCUCUGCCCUUUCAUGUUUUCCUCUGGGGGUUACUCCUCCCCACCCCUGAGGUUUGCAUGGGGCCAGCCCCAUCCCCUGGCUUUAGAGGCUGGCAUGUGUCCCAGCUGGACGCUGAGAUGCCCCCCUUGGGAUUUCUGCAGCAGCCACGGGGAAAGAGGCACUCACUUUUCAUGGGAGUUGCCAGGUUGAUGGAACUUCUGGUGACCACUCCUGUUCUCCACUUGAGGAUGAAGCCAACCAAGAGGUGGAAAAAGUAUGCUGUCCAGAUAUCAGUAAGCCCCUGGACCCAGCCAUGCCUGAAACUGACCACAUCUCUGGACUAAUCUGAUUAUAUGAGCUAAUGAAUGCAUUUCAUUUUUUCUAAAACUAUCCUGAGUUGGGUUUCUGUCAUAGAGUCCUAAGAAAGCUAUAUUUUCCUUUGAUCUCAUUUAAAAAAAAUCCAUUUUAAGGUAUACUUUACAUGCACCCAUUUUAAAUGUUCAAUUCAUGAGUUUUUUCAAAUGCAUACACCCUUGUAACUACUACUGCAAUCGAGUUGUAGAGCAUUUCAAGUUCCUUAUUCCCCUUUAUGGUCAGUCCUCCUGACCCCAAACAACCACUGACCUGCCUUUGUCCUAGAGAUUCAUUCAAUCUUCUCUUGGUUCAGGUCCCUGGAGGUUGAGGAGAGCAUUUCCUCGAUGCUCAUAUUAUGGAUCAACCUGGGUCAUUUCUCCUGGGACUCAGAGUCACUCCUGGUCCAACUGUGCUGAAGCUGGAUGCACCUCUGGGCCCUGCAGUUUUGUGGUUCAAUACAGCCUUCCCUUCGUUUGAGCCAACUCACCACAGAAGAGAGUUCUGCCUGAUACAGCUCAAUCACCGCACCCUUCAGUGAAGCUCCGCCCCAGAACCUCCAGGCAAAACCAACUAAUGGUCAGUCCAGCUCACCUCCUGGGAGCCAGACACUAGUAAGUGCUUUACAGGCAUUGUAUCAAGUCUUCUCAGCAACCCUCGGGGAGGUACUGUUAUCCCCACUUUACUGGGAUGUGGGUGUACUGCAUACCUGGGUACCUCUGGAGCUCCUCUGUCCACCAGAUUCCUGGCUUCUUGUCCCACAGCUGAAGUUGACCCCUCCCAGACCACAGGCCAGGGUAAGGGGGCUGGAUCCAGAAUGGCCAAAGAGGCUGGAGAAGUCAAGCCAUACACGUGGAGGAGUUAGUUCUUGGGAUGAACUUUCAGCGGUAGCGUAAGCACCUUCGGCAGGAAAGAACUCUCUGCAGGAGGCCCUGUUGUCAGUAACCUAGCAUACCUUUCAGAUCUUUAGAUCACACAAUACCUUGCCUAACCUGCUGGUUCUUCCCACAGAUCAAAGAAGUAGAAAAGAAGAAUAAGUAAUUACCAGGUGACCAGAUCUCUUCCCCAGCUUCCCCUUCAGUAAUCUCACGAACAAAUGGUGGGAACAAGAUAGCAUCUAACAUGAAAGAUCACAAGAAGUCGACAAGCCUGCACACAGCUGGUGAUCAUGACACCUCUGACCCCCUCCAUCAGUGAUUAUCUGAGCUGACUUCCCUUUUUCCCCUUAGAAACUUCCAUGGCCAAGCAGACUCUUCAGAGGUGGUUUUGGCGGAACACCCGAGUGCACCAUCUCCCCAGACUGCCGGCAUUCUGAUUAAAAGGAACUUUCUAUAAA